AUGCGAGGCCGCCACCACCUGCUUGGCUUCCUCCGCCGCGCCGCGGCAGGCUCCUUCUCCGCGGCCCGCCGUGCUGAUUCUCUCUCCCUCCCACACCCCAUCCCGCCUGGAAAUGGCGCCGCCGUUCCCAUCAGCACCCGCUUCCUCUCCUCGCGCACCGGCGGCGCCGCGCGGAGCCUAAUCGAGGACGAGGCCGACCUCAGCGACUGGGUCAGCGACAUCAAGGCCGACUCCUUCAACCUUGGCCUUAGCAGCGGCGACGAGCGCGAGGUCUCCACCCGCAAACCCACUGCCUCCAGGGGAGGCCGAAGAGGGAGGGAUUCGGGGGGACCGCCGACGAGGUCGAGGUUUGAUGGUGGUGAGUUCGGCGGAGAGAGACGCGGCGGGGAUUUUGGCGGUGAUAUGCGUGGUGGUCGGUUCGGCGGCGAUAGUCGCGGUGGUCGGUUCGGCGGCGAUAGUCGUGGUGGUCGGUUUGGUGGCGACAGGCGUGGUGGUCGAUUCGGCAGCGAUAGUCGUGGUGGUCGGUUCGGGGGCGAUAGGCCUGGCUCUGAUCGGAGGGGGAGGGUGGUGAGUUCUGAUCUCAGUGAUGAUGGUGAAUCUGGGUUUGGUUCUGCGAGGGGAAGGCGAGGGCGGGGCGGGAUGUCUUCGGGGUUUUCACAGAGAGGAGGGAGGGGAGGUGAUUUUGGUGAUGAGGCUGGGUUUCGGUCUUCGAGGGGUCAGCGUGGCCGGGGCGGGAGGGCAUCGGGUGUGUCACAAAGGGGAGGGAGGUAUGGUGAUUUGGAUGAUGAAGAAUCUGGGUUUGGGUCUCCCAGGGGAAGACGAGGUCGUGGUGGGAGGACAGCAGAUUUGUCAGGUAGAGGACGCAGGGGAAGCGAUCUGGAUGACGAGGAGGAUGACAGCGGUGAAGAAGUUGGUUUUGGGUCUCCCAGGGGAAGACGAGGCCGUGGUGGAAGGGCAUCAGGUUUGUCAAGCAGAGGAGGCAGGGGAAGCGAUCUGGAUGAUGAAGAGGAUGACAGUGGUGAAGAAGUUGGUUUUGGGUCUCCCAGGGGAAUUCGUGGCCGUGGUGGAAGGAUGUCAAGUUUGUCACGCAGAGGAGGUACGGAAAGUGAUUUGGAUGACGACGACGACGACGACGAUGAUGAUGCAAUUGAGUUUGGAGCUUCUGGUGGAAGGCAUAAUCGUGGUGGGAGAGCAGAGAAGAUGGGGAGUUUGGGAUCACGUAGAGGAGGUAAAGUCAGGGAUGUGGAUUUUGGUGAUCGACGGUCAAAGGGUCGGAAAAUGUCUGAUUUUGGUUCAUCAGAGGAUGAUAGUGAGUCAGGGGAAGUUGAUGAGGAUGAUGGGCCAUCAGGUUUUGAGGAUGGUCUCUCUGGUGAUGAUUCUGGCCAGGAGGAUUUAGUGAACAGUGCAGCUAAGAAAUCUGUCUCUUCUGAGUCAGUUGAACAGGAGACUGUACUGGGCACAAGAGAUAAUAGAGGUGCUGAUUCGUAUUUGAGUCAGAGAAGGUUUGAUGAAUGUUCUCUCUCUCCCGCGACAUUAAAAGGUGUUAAAGCUGCUGGGUAUGAACGGAUGACUGCAGUUCAGGAGGCCACGCUUCCUAUUAUACUUAAAGGGAAGGAUGUCCUGGCCAAAGCAAGGACAGGAACCGGAAAAACUGUGGCAUUCUUGCUUCCAGCCAUUGAAGUUGUCUCCAAAUUGCCCCCUCAUGACCAUGAUAAAAAAAGACCACCUAUUAGUGUUAUUGUUGUGUGCCCGACACGUGAGCUUGCUGAUCAGGCUGCUGCAGAGGCUAACAAACUUCUUAAAUUCCAUCCAUCAAUUGGAGUACAACUUGUAAUUGGUGGCACUAGGAUGGCUCUUGAGCAGAAACGCAUGCACACAAACCCUUGCCAGAUUCUGGUAGCUACACCGGGAAGGCUUAAGGAUCAUAUGGAGAACACACCAGGAUUUGCUACUAGAUUGAUGGGCGUCAAAUUCCUUAUUCUUGAUGAAGCUGACCGCUUGUUAGAUAUGGGGUUCCGAACUGAUAUCGAGAGAAUAGUAGCUGCACUCCCCAAACAGCGCCAAACACUCCUAUUUUCUGCUACAGUUCCAGAUGAGGUUCGUCAAGUAUGUCAUGUUGCCAUGAAAAGAGAUCUUGAAUUUGUCAACACUGUUCAAGAAGGAAGUGAGGAAACACAUUCACAGGUGAAACAAAUGCAUUUGGUUGCGCCACUAGAUAAACAAUUCUCUAUCCUAUAUGGUCUUUUAACAGACCAUAUUUCGGAAAAUGUUGACUACAAGGUGAUUGUGUUUUGUACAACAGCAAAAGUAACUAGUCUUGUUGCUGAACUCCUGUCUGAACUGAAGUUGAACGUACGUGAGAUCCACUCCAGAAAGCCACAAAGUUACAGAACCAGGAUAUCAAAAGAAUUUAAGGAAUCAAAGGGUCUUAUUCUUGUUAGCUCUGAUGUAUCUGCUAGGGGUGUUGAUUAUCCUAAUGUCACACUAGUUCUGCAGUUGGGUGUUCCGAGUGACAGGGAGCAAUAUAUCCACCGUCUUGGUAGAACUGGCCGCAAAGGUAAUGAGGGGAGCGGAGUCUUAUUGUUGGCACCAUGGGAAGAAUACUUCUUGAGAAGUAUCAAAGAUUUGCCUAUUACAGAGGCAACACUACCACUAAUUGAUCUGGACACUAAACGGAAGGUUGAGAAAGCUCUUGCACAUGUGGAGGUGAAAGAUAAGGAAUCUGCGUAUCAAGCAUGGCUUGGUUACUAUAAUUCGAAUAAGCAAAUCGGCCGUGAUAAGUACCAGCUUGUAUCGCUGGCUAAUGAGUUCAGUAGAAGUCUGGGGCUCAACAAUCCUCCAGCACUGACUAAGCUUAUCCUUAAAAAGAUGGGGCUGAGCAACAUUCCAGGUCUACGGUCAAAAUAA
rnacentral:rRNA from 1 species